UCCUGUCCAAGCUGUCAUCAGUCCUACCACUGUCCGUCUGAGGCUCCCUUCUCACCUUCGGGUCCAUCCCGUUUUUCAUGUUUCCCAAGUCAAGCCUGUGUCUUUCAGCCCGUUGUGCCCUCCGUCCAGACCCCCUCCACCCGCCCGGGUCGUUGACGGCCACCCUGCCUUCACUGUGCGCCGCAUUGUGGAUGUCCGCCCCCGGGGUCGGGGUUGCCAGUAUCUGGUUGAUUGGGAGGGUUAUGGUCCGGAGCAGCGGUCCUGGGUUCCGCGCUCCUUCAUUCUGGAUCCCACGCUCAUCUCUGACUUUGAGCGCCGUUCGGCGUCUUCUUCUACUCGUCCGCCAGGUGGCGUCCCUUGAGGGGGGGGGGGUACUGUUGGGCUCACUGGAUUGUGUGCUGAGCUGUGCUAGGGUUCUUUCUUACCUUUUCCUCCUUAGACUCCAGUCCUGACGAGCCUCCAGCUGGUUCCAAUUGGACGCAAUCAGGGAGCAGUAUUUAGAGGAGUGGAUUCCCUGGGACGGACGCCAGUCGGUUAAAGUUCCACACAGUGGUAACCUACCUGCUAGCUCUCCUAAGACUGAACAAGAUAGUUUUGACUUAAGCUUACCUCCGUGUCCUCCUUCUCUCUCCUAGAAGCCUUGCUGUUUCCAAGCCGGUCUUCCUCCCAGUCUUCCUGGAUCCUUCCCUCGACUGCUCACCUGCCUGUCCACCCUCUGGAGCUCUCAGGUCGAAGCCCUCCAUCUCCGCCAAAGACUCAAUCUCUGUGGGCUCAUCCAACCUCCCCUCCAGCUGCUCCGCUCUCCAAGAACUUUCCAGAUGAAGCCGCAGUAAUCCGAACCACCACGCCAGGCUGAACUUAACUCUGUAAAACUUUUCAAUAAACAAUC